CCUCAGAGCCCAGCUGUUUUUGUUGCAUCUAAAUGAGAAAAAAAAAAAAAGAAGAAGAAGAAAAGAAAAGAAAAUUAAAUAAAUGAGAAGGCUUCAGUGCUCCUAGGGAAAGAAAGCUCACAAAGUUAGGGUCAGGAAGCAUCUUUUCCUUUGCACUCAGCAGAAUGUUGACAACGUUACCUCUGGUGGAUGACCUGAGUUGGAAGCAGAAGAUUGUUCUCAGGCCUCCAAGAGGUGAGUGCCUUCCCUGCCUGUGCUCCCUCCACGGGGCACUGACUCACCACAGGACCAGCAGUGUGGCCACGGACUGAAACUGUGAGCUGAAACACCUGGAAACAUGAGCCAAGACAGCUCCUUCUUCCCAUGACUCAUCUUACACAUCGUGCCACAGCCACAGAUGCUGACCAGCAGCCCCCCAGUCAAAAUACGAACCAAGCUUUGAGAUACCAACAAGCUGAAGGCCUUCUGCAAGCCCUGGGCUGUGACAAGGAUUGGCACUGUGACGAAGGCCAUCCCCAGAGCGCCUGCCUGGUGGCCGGGUGAACAGCUGCAGCUCGGAGGUGCAGCUCACAGUAAG